rnacentral:rRNA from 1 species
CAUUCACGGAGAGUUUGAUCCUGGCUCAGGACGAACGCUGGCGGCGUGCUUAACACAUGCAAGUCGAACGAUGAAGCCUUUCGGGGUGGAUUAGUGGCGAACGGGUGAGUAACACGUGGGCAAUCUGCCCUUCACUCUGGGACAAGCCCUGGAAACGGGGUCUAAUACCGGAUAACACUCUGUCCUGCAUGGGACGGGGUUGAAAGCUCCGGCGGUGAAGGAUGAGCCCGCGGCCUAUCAGCUUGUUGGUGGGGUAAUGGCCUACCAAGGCGACGACGGGUAGCCGGCCUGAGAGGGCGACCGGCCACACUGGGACUGAGACACGGCCCAGACUCCUACGGG